rnacentral:rRNA from 1 species
UACGUAGGGCGCAAGCGUUGUCCGGAAUUAUUGGGCGUAAAGAGCUCGUAGGCGGUUUGUCGCGUCUGCUGUGAAAACCUAAGGCUCAACCUUGGGCUUGCAGUGGGUACGGGCAGACUAGAGUGCGGUAGGGGUGACUGGAAUUCCUGGUGUAGCGGUGGAAUGCGCAGAUAUCAGGAGGGAACACCGAUGGCGAAGGCAGGAUCACUGGGCCGCGA